GACCCCAUGGAGCUUUAAACCUGACAGCACCCGCUCAUUCUAUACCCCAUUAUUUGCCCGACCCCUGUCUGCUCAGUUUUAGGUUGGGGUGACCACGGAGUAUAAAGUAACCUCCAUGAAGAAGGGGAUAUUUCCCUUAUUAGAGAACCACACUUCCAAGAACUAAUAAAUUAAUUUUCAAUGACCCGAUACCCGAUAAUCGAUCAACGAACCAAGUUACCCUGGGGAUAACAGCGCAAUCCACCCUGAAAGCCCUUAUUAACAGGUGGGUUUACGACCUCGAUGUUGGAUCAGGGUAUCCCAGUGGUGCAGCAGCUACUGAGGGUUCGUUUGUUCAACGAUUAAAACCCU
rnacentral:rRNA from 1 species